UACGUAGGGUGCGAGCGUUGUCCGGAAUUAUUGGGCGUAAAGGGCUCGUAGGCGGUUUGUCGCGUCGGGAGUGAAAUCCACUGGCUUAACUGGUGGCUUGCUUUCGAUACGGGCAGACUGGAGGUAUGCAGGGGAGAACGGAAUUCCUGGUGUAGCGGUGAAAUGCGCAGAUAUCAGGAGGAACACCGGUGGCGAAGGCGGUUCUCUGGGCCGACACUGACGCUGAGGAGCGAAAGCGUGGGGAGCGAACAGG
rnacentral:rRNA from 1 species